rnacentral:lncRNA from 1 species
UGGGAUGGUUGCUCCUAAGUUUUAUUGAUGCAAGAGAGGGUAAUGACAGUCUCUUGGAGAUAAAAGGGGGGUUUCAGACUUGGGUUUUUUUCUUUUACUAGGUUUAGUUGUUUCAUUUCUUUAGUUGCUAGUUAUCUUUUGUUUUUUUUUGUUUUUUUUAAAUUUUUUGUUAUGUGGUCUCCAAGGCUUCGUUUGGUUGGCCUUUGUUUGAUAGGCAAGUGUAUUGUUAAAUAACAAGUAAGGGUCUAUAACCAUUUACAUUUUCUCCAAGUAAUUAAUG